GUCAACUCAAAUAAGAGGUAAAAUAGAAAGCAAAUUGGGAGCAUUUUUAGGCCACAUGGCCGGCCAAAAGAGAAGCAAUAACAAGGGGGGAUGAAUUUAAUAAGUGUUCACUUUAGUUGUUGAACCACUUUCACCAACUCUCCAUGUGUCCAUUGGUUAUUUUGUCCAACACUCUGUUCAUUAAUCUUGCAAGCAACCACUUGGAUAUUGCUAAGGGGAAAUAAAGAGAGAAUUAGUGGGAGAGUAAGGCCAUAUGGCCGGACCAUGCUCAAGAAGAAAAGGAGAUUGGGAGAUAACAAAAUAUAUCUAUAGAUUUUCCAACACUUAGAUCAUAUUUUUCCCUUUCAUCACUUUUAUUAUUCUUGCUAGAACACAAGAAAAAGAGAGAGGGAGAGAGAAGAGGAGGCCAUGUUCGGCCAUCCUAAGAGGAGAAGGAGGAGAUUUUGAUGUUCAUACAAUCAAGAUCCAUCUACAUCUUUGAAGGAGAGAAGGA
rnacentral:lncRNA from 1 species